UAAAUUGGAAGCUUAAGCCUCUCUUCUUACCAUCACAAAGAUUGAGAACAUCUUCAUCUCUCUCUCUCUCUCUCUCUCUCUCUCUCUCUCUCUCUCUCUCUCUCUCUCUCUCUUUCAAUUAUGAGAUCGAAGUCUUCUUCUACUUCUUCUUCUUCUUCAUGGAGACAAGUGAGAAGGAGGAAGAUAAGAGUGAAGAGCAUGAUGUCCACGAGAAGGAAGCUCCACCAGCUCCUUUCCAUCGUCCCAGGCUGCCAUCAAACUCACCCCCAAAACUUGUUCCACACAAUCGCCACUUAUAUCCUCCUUUUGGAGCUCAAAGUCAGCCUCCUCACCACUCUCUCCUCCUCCUACGGAGUCUAAUGAAAAAGAAGAACACACGAGUGUUAACCUUUUGUGCAGGUUCUUAACCGCGACAUAAUUCUGGAGGAGGAAGAACUGAUUAGGAGGUAGUUCCAGCGAAAGAGCAUGAGAGAGAGAGAGAGAGAGAGAGAGAGAGAGAGAGAUAUUCAAUGUACAGGUCAAUCUUGUUAGUUCUCUCUUGAAACGUGUUAAUUGCUCCCCAAGUUUCACUUUAAGAGCAAACGAUCUUCCUUUACAUAGCGUACAUAUACUUUCUACAUACUUAAGUAACAAUUUUGUUGCUCCUAUAUUAAUUUAUCAUAGUUUGGGAUCAAACUAAAGUCAAGUUAUGUGAUGUUAUAAUCAUACAUACUAAUUACGUGGAUUGAUAUUGGUUUCUUGAGAUUCGAUGUUGUAUUCGGUAAUUCACCCCUCAGCUUGUGCGUCAUCCAUCACGGGUCUAUUCAGUAGCAGUACUCUCUAAAUGGUCAUUGCUAG
rnacentral:lncRNA from 1 species